GACAGAGGGUGCAAACGUUGCUCGGAUUUACUGGGCGUAAAGCGCAUGUAGGCGGGACUUUAAGUCGGGUGUGAAAUCCCUGGGCUCAACCUAGGAACUGCAUCCGAAACUGAGGUUCUGGAGUAGUGGAGAGGAAAGCGGAAUUCCGGGUGUAGAGGUGAAAUUCGUAGAUAUCCGGAGGAACACCAGUGGCGAAGGCGGCUUUCUGGACACUAACUGACGCUGAGAUGCGAAAGCGUGGGGAGCAAACAGG
rnacentral:rRNA from 2 species